AAGACCACAUGGUUAGAUGUGACUUUUGUGAACUGCAGCUUGAGAAGUUCUCUGGGCUGCCAGAAGGAUGGAGUUCAGCAGGCAGUGUUCUUAGUUGAGAAGAGAUGUCACUUCUGGCAGUGACCCCACGGGAGGUGUCCAGGAGCACAGAGCAAGGCAGGAUCCUUAUGCUCGCUGCUGGGGAUGCCUGUUGUUGUCCACAAGUGGUGGAGAGGGAAGUCAGAAGGCUGAAUGUGAACUCACUGAAAUGUGAAGAGAGAGUCAUCCUCUAUUUUCAACUUAAAGGUUAAUCUGUGGCAAACUUACAGCUUUCUCUUCAGAUGUUGGAAGGAAGUGUUUCCUGUUUUAGUCUGCUGUUUUACUUAAGGUCUCUGGCUGUCUAAUACUGGUGUUGUCCCAUUCUUCUUUUUGUCCCUCCCUUUGUGUCUCCUGAAAGUGAAAGAUGACAGAAGCUACCCCAGUGCUGCCUAGAGGGUGAGCUGUGACCAGUCCUUCACAACUGUUGAGACCCUCCUAUUAAACACAGCAAAAGCCUGAAAAACAUUCAGCAGCCAAUGCAGGGUGGGGAGUGUAGCAGGGUGGCAGUUGCUGUGUUCUUGGGCCGGAGCAAGGAUGUAACUGAUGGAUCUCAGCAGUUCAGUGCAUGGGACUGGGGGCACUUCCUUCCCAGUAGUGCCUGUGACCUUUGUGGGGUAUGAUUCUUAUCUACUACUAUAUUUCCCUGUGUAGGCAAAAGUAAAUAUGUUAAACUCUUUAA
ensembl:lncRNA